rnacentral:rRNA from 1 species
UACGUAGGGGGCGAGCGUUGUCCGGAAUUAUUGGGCGUAAAGAGCGUGUAGGCGGUUCGGUAAGUCUGCCGUGAAAACCUGGGGCUCAACCCUGGGCGUGCGGUGGAUACUGCCGGGCUAGAGGGUGGUAGAGGCGAGUGGAAUUCCCGGUGUAGCGGUGAAAUGCGUAGAUAUCUGGAGGAACACCGGUGGCGAAGGCGGCAUCCUGGACCAACACUGACGCUGAGGAGCGAAAGCCAGGGGAGCAAACGGG